AUCCUUUUGUAGUUGAUAAGUGUGAUGACUGGGUGUGAGAUGUGCCUUCCUUAAACCUUGUUACAAACCUUGUUAGCACAUUACCUGUCUAAUG
rnacentral:snoRNA from 1 species